CUCUCUCUCUCUUUCACACACAGACACACACACUCUCUCUCUCCCUAAAACAAAAUAAACUUAAAAAAAUAAACUGGAAGCAUGAACUCUUAAAUCAACAGGUAGAAUCCUGUGAACAUCACGACUGUUCCAGCAAGGGGGGCAGAUUUGCCACAGGGGGGGAAAUGGUUUGCUUUCUCCUGAACCACGGUAAGACAAACCAGCUUCCUCCCCUGAUACAUGAUCACCCGAUCUGUUUUCAUGCAGCGGGCGUAAGCUAGAGGUUUUACUCGACCUCCGUGAUGAAUGAAGAGAUUGAGUUCUGGGAGUGGGGUUUAAAUCCAACGUCCGUAACUUGUUCGAGCGUAGUAAACCCUGGAAAAAGUUAUGCUCGGUCUCAAGAAGAGCUCAGUUCGUUUCAAGAAGUCUUUAUAACUGAGCUUUUGAUAAAUAUUUGACGACAGUAUAAAGCAGCUCUUUCUCCCACGACCCAAGUGAUUUCUGUGAGACGUCUCCAAAUAUUUAACCGACUUCCAGGGACACGGCAGUAGACACAUUGAGCGCCCGGAACACAUCUGGCGAGCCGUUUGCUUUGGAAGUUCCACCAGCAAGGAACCCUGCUUAAGUAACUGCGUCUUUACUGAGGUUGUUUUGUAACUCAAGUGCCUGUUUGGUAAACACUGAAUUUUUUUAGGCUGAAAUUAAUGUACACCUUGCCUCCUUCCUUGACCUCUCUUCUCUCCUCCCUUCUCUUCGUCCACCCAGCAAACAUUCACUGUGCCCCUGCUGUGGUGGCAUCUACCUCAUGCUGAAGGUUUACAACCGCUGUUCUCCCACUUGAGGCCCCUGGGAGAUCCCCUGAGGUCUGUCCCUUCUCUGAAGGGAACGUCCACUGUUGCCCCCGUGAGCCGAUUGGCACAGCCUGAAGAUCGGCUCGCGCCUGGGGAGACACUCGAGUGUCCGGAACCUGUCAGAGGACACCCCUGGGACUCACAACGUCCCAGUGUGAACCCAAACCCUGAGGCACGAAGAAGGAUUUAUGGAAAAUGGCCUGACUGCUAGGCCAUCUGUGGACCCGUCUAGACUCAGUCAACUCACAUUCACUGUUUUCCACCCACCUCAUUUUACAGAGAAAGUAUUUUACUAAAAUGCACAUUAGGGGAUGUUCUAGCAAGCACCUCCCCCCCCCCCCAUCACGUUUUAAACCAUUUUCCAUGAGAAAGUUAGUUGCCAAGCACACGGGUCACUCAGACCCACUGUCAUGGUCAUGAGGGUCCGUACCUGACGUGGUCCGGUUUUCAAAUAUACUGAUGGAGGAGUGACAGUAAGAUCGUCUGUGCGGACACUGCAACGCUGACCUUGUGCCAGCUGCUGGGAAUUCUCAAAGGCUACAUAGCAGCAGUGUGUGCCUGAAGGUAUUUAAUCCUCACGCUGAGUCCCGUGAGGGACUUUCUGUCUUCGUCCCCACCGUGCAGAUGGGGCAAGGGAGGCCCCGGAUGCUUCCUAACGGGUGGGAGCCGCACAACCAGGCUUCCCCGCCAGGAGUCUGAGUCCGGGGCCCUGUCGUAGCAGCUCUGUCGACUUGUCCCCCACCCCGUGCGCAUCCAGAAUGCGGUGGGAACCGCGCCGUUGGCAUUUUAUGUGUCAGCCUCGAAUCUUCGCAUCUUUGUGUUUCCUUCCACUUUAAAACAUUUUGCACUGCACUCAGUUUCGUGAGCUUCCUUGGGGUAGAUUUAUGCAAAAUAUGCACAAACGUGUGGACAAAUAGGUAAGCAGUUUUCCUUGAUAGCUUUGACGGUAAAUGGUGGCAGGUGGGUUGGAUGAUGAGCCUAAGGGAUACUCAGCUGACGGAGAGCUAUCACCGGGAAGUCGUCACAAAUGGUUCUGGAACUGCCCGCCACCCCCGUGGACGGCUGAAACCGUACUCGGUAUCUUCGAGCACGGACGGUACAUCCAAAACUAACGUUAGUAUUCCAUGUCCUACGAGACAGCUUUUCUUCUCGACUCUCCUGCUUUGCCGAUGGCAUCAUCAGCGGCAGAUCCCUAAGUCGGAAACCCGAGAUGCUGGCGAGCCUGGCCUUCUAAGCCCCCUCCACCGCGGCCCCUCAGCUCCCAAGUCCACCUCGCAUGGGCACACUUCUGCCAUUCACCUCUUCCUUUAUUUUCCCCAGGACCGCGGUUUACAUCCUGACCACCACUUGUCCGAAUGUAGGAAGUUCCCGAAUUAACUGUCGGUGCUUUGGAAUCGGGCAAAACUAGGUCCAGCCCCAGGUUCUAUAACCGUUAGCUGUGUGGCCUUGGCUGAGUCACUCAACUUCUCUGGGCAUCAGUUUCCUGGUCUGUAACGGGACAAGAACUACCUACCUCUCAGGGUUGUGGGGAAGGUGAAAUGAAUUUGUUAGAUGGAUGCAGCCUAGAUCCUUGGGGCUCAGGAUUUAUUUAGUUUCUUUCAUGAUGGUUUACAGAAGCAGGUCACCCUGACGUGAAAAACAUCGAGAAGGAAAAUGUCAGAAACUGUCUCAUGCCCUCGUUCAGAACCUUCUCCCUUCGAACACACUGGGCAUCCUACGGGGAUGCCCGGCUUCGACAAUGACCCAAAAGUCUGCCAUUUCCAGUGUCUUUGAGACUCUCGGUGGAUAUAGCGAAGAUCAGUGGUUUAGUUUCUUUCGGUUUGCAGCUUCCUGUUAGUAGCACCAAAGCAGGAAGAGGUUUCACUGUGCUCACGACACAUCACGGUAGCUUUGGUGUUUGUCCAGAAAUACACAGCACCGGGUGCCACUUUUCAUUUCAGCAGAGACCCGAACUGUUUUCUACUGUCUCCAGUAAAGGGAACUAUGGUUAUUAGUCGCAAGGUGUGCUUUAGCUACCAGGAGCCCGGCAGCAGAGGGUCUCAGAGCGACUCCCUGAUUCUCCCGUGGUCGACCCGGCAGAGACCCCUUGCUGUGGAUGGACGUUUGCACCCCCGAGAAAUUCCCAUGUUGAAGCCUAAUCCCCAGGGUGAUGGAUUAGGAGGUGACACACAGCGAGAAGACAGCCAACGGAAGACCAGCAAGAGGGUCCUCGCCAGACAUCUCACCUGCUGGUGCUUUGGUCUUGGACAUACCAGCCGUUGGAGCUGUGAGAAGUAAAGGUAUGUUGUCACCCAGUCUAUUGGCGGUUGCUAGGGCAGCCUGGGCUGACCGAGACUGUCUCCGGUUUUCCCAGACACUCUCCACGUCACCCGGCAUUGGAAUCGUUUGCACACAUGCCUUUCCCGGACUGUAAACUUCGGGGAACGCUUGCCACAGUGGGGAAAGGAAACACCUGCUGGAUGUCCCACGAGCUCAAUAAAACCUAGAACAGCCGAGCCUGAGACGGAGCCAUUAACCUGAGUCGCUGGAUGCGGAUGGGAAACGUUUUUUCUUUGCUUUGUUGGCAACUCAGUUUUGCUAAUACGCUGGAUGCGCGAGUGUAGGCAUCUCAUGGGCUGAUCGUAUGGAGCCUGGGAACUCAUCUGGGGGACGGGGGGAGCCAAAUAAAGGAAACACGCUGGCGCCCUCCGCCACGGUGUCUGUAGGGGGUGAACUGGGCAAGAACCAGACGGAGCCAAGGGUAGUGCUUAGUAACUACCCUCAACCUGCCACUCUGGGUCCGCUGCUGAAUUUGUUGGCAUAUAAUAAAUAAAAAUACUAAAUUCAUUUUUAAAUGAUUGUAAAA